CCUACGGGUGGCAGCAGUGAGGAAUAUUGGUCUAUGGGCGCGAGCCUGAACCAGCCAUGUAGCGUGAAGGAUGACUGCCCUACGGUUUGUAAACUUCUUUUAUAAAGGAAUAAAGUGAGGCACGUGUGCCUUUUUGUAUGUACUUUAUGAAUAAGGAUCGGCUAACUCCGUGCCAGCAGCCGCGGUAAUACGGAGGAUUCGAGCGUUAUCCGGAUUGAAUGGGUUUAAAGGGAGCGUAGAUGGAUUGUUAAGUCAGUUGUGAGAGGUUGCGGCUCAACCGUAUAAUUGCAAUUGAUACUGGCAGUCUUGAGUACAAUUGAGGUAGGCGCAAUUCGUGGUAUAGCGGAGAAAUGCUUAGAUAUCACGAAGAACUCCGA
rnacentral:rRNA from 1 species